UGUUAAGCUACUAAGAGCAUAGGGAGAAUGCCUAGGUACCAAAAGCCGAAGAAAGACGUGAUAAGCUGCGAAAAGCCACGGGGAGAAGCAAAUAUUCAAUAAUCCGUGGAUGUCUGAAUGAGGAAACUCUGACCAAGAAAAAAGUUGGUUAAUCCAUACACGAGUAAAGUAGUGUAUAGGAGGGGAACGUGGGGAACUGAAACAUCUAAGUACCCACAGGAAAAGAAAGAAAACUCGAUUCCUAAAGUAGUGGCGAGCGAAAUAGGAAGAGCCCAAACCAGAAGAAGAAAUUCAUCUGGGGUUCGGACUACAUAAUUGAUUCAAUGAGUUUAGUAAAAUUGUUUGGGAAAGCAAACCAAAGACGGUGAAAGUCCAGUAUACGAAAAACAAGUUGACAAGGUAGAAUCCAGAGUAGUGCGAGACACGUGAAAUCUCGUAUGAAGGAGCGGGGACCACCCCGUAAGGCUAAAUACUAAUUGGUAACCGAUAGUGAAGAAGUACCGUGAGGGAAAGUUGAAAAGAACCCCGGGAGGGGAGUGAAAGAGAACCUGAAACCCUGUGUUUACAAGCAGACAAAGCACGUUAAGGUGCGAUGUCGUACUUUUUGUAGAACGGUCCGGCGAGUUAUUUUAUAUGGCAAGGUUAAGUACUAAAGGUACGGAGCCGAAGAGAAAUCGAGUCUGAAGAGGGCGAAUAAGUCAUAUGAAAUAGACCCGAAACCGAGUGACCUAUCCAUG
rnacentral:ncRNA from 1 species